rnacentral:rRNA from 1 species
AUUGAACGCUGGCGGCAGGCCUAACACAUGCAAGUCGAACGGUAACAGGAAGACGCUUGCUUCUUUGCUGACGAGUGGCGGACGGGUGAGAAAUGUCUGGGAAACUGCCUGCUGGAGGGGGAUAACUACUGGAAACGGUAGCUAAUACCGCAUACCGUCGCAAGACCAAAGAGGGGGACCUUCGGGGCUCUUGGCUUCGGAUGCGCCCAGAUGGGUUUAGCUAGUAGGAGGGGUAACGGCUCACCUAGGCGGGGAACCGUACUUGGACUGGGAGGAGGGCCGGCCACACUGGAACUGGGACGCGGUCCAGACUCCUACGGGAGGCAGCAGUGGGGAAUAUUGCACAAUGGGCGCAAGCCUGAUGCAGCCAUGCCGCGUGUAUGAAGAAGGCCUUCGGGUUGUAAAGUACUUUCAGCGGGGAGGAAGGGAGUAAAGUUAAUACCUUUGCUCAUUGACGUUACCCGCAGAAGAAGCACCGGCUAACUCCGUG